AGUGAACGCUGGCGGCGUGCCUAAUACAUGCAAGUCGAACGAAGUGGCGCACGGGUGAGUAAUACAUAGUUAAUCUGCCCUACACAGAGGGACAACAGUUGGAAACGACUUCUAAUACCCCAUAGUGUCGGAUGAGACUAUAUCGUUUCAGAUAGUUGGGAAGGUAAUGGCUUACCAAGGCUAUGACGCGUAACUGGCCUGAGAGGAUGAUCAGUGACAGUGGAACUGAGACACGGUUGGAACUCCUACGGGAGGGAGCAGUAAGGGAUAUUGCGCAGUGGGGGGAGCCCUGACGGAGCAACGCCGCGUGGAGGAUGACACUUGUCGGGGCGUAAACUCCUUGUAUCAGGAAAACGGUACCUGAUGAGUAAGCACCGGCUAACUCCGUGCCAGCCGCCGCGGUAAUAC
rnacentral:rRNA from 1 species